GCAACAGAAGAUGCAGCUGUCCUAGAGAAGCUCUGGACCUGAGCAUGAAGUGUGGGCACCUCUUGGCUCUUUGUCUCCUGCUGGGUACGCCCUUUGUCUGAGGGGAGCAGCGUUCCUGUGACCUCAGCCAGGGAACAACUGUGAUCCAUGGCAGAGGCUACAUCAGCAAACAUGGACCAGCUCCUGGCUAGGAUGGAAGUGAGCCAGCCCCUGAGCAACGUGUGAAUUGUCUUCUGAUUUAUGAUAAUUGUCAACAAAAGCAAAAACACAGACAAUUUUAACUCUGCGGUAGCUAUGAAGUAACUGGCAUGAAAUUAUGUUUUUUUCUUUUAAUAAAAGGGAGGGGUCCUAAAGUCUCCAUGGCCUGUGCACAGUGGUCUUGUUCACCCAGACGCCCCUCGGCCCUCUGUGGCCACACCCACCUGACAAGGACCCACCCCAGAAUAUUUGGCCAGCCAGGGCCUGGAGGACUCUGAGUUAAACUCAUUUCCAUAUCAAACCCAAUUUAGAUGAAUAGUCUUGGUUAAAAAAAAGCCACAGCAUCAAUAGCCCCUGAUUAGAUUUUCAUCUCCUGAGCAGACAAAUAUGAAUAUUUAUUACCAUGAAUGCAGAUUUUUCUCUUUCCAUUGCUCUGAUCUUGAAUAUUAUCCAUUGCUAAUUUUUAUGAAAAUUUGGGCAACAUGAUGUUUUCACAUAAACUGACAGUUCUUGAG